rnacentral:rRNA from 1 species
CAGUAGCCGCGGGAAUACGUAGGUCCCGAGCGUUGUCCGGAUUUAUUGGGCGUAAAGCGAGCGCAGGCGGUUAGAUAAGUCUGAAGUUAAAGGCUGUGGCUUAACCAUAGUACGCUUUGGAAACUGUUAGACUUGAGUGCAGAAGGGGAGAGUGGAAUUCCAUGUGUAGCGGUGAAAUGCGUAGAUAUAUGGAGGAACACCAGUGGCGAAGGCGGUUCUCUGGUCUGUAACUGACGCAGAGGCUCGAAAGCCAGGGGAGCGAACGGGAUUAGAUACCCGCGUAGUCCCUGUCUCUUAUACC